UACGAAUGGUACAAGUGUUAUUGGAGUGUAUUGGGCGUAAAAGGUACGUAGGCAGCUUUUUAAACUUUUUGUCAAAUGUUGGAGCCAUAUCUACAGCAAGGCAAUUUUAGAUUAAAUGGAUAUGAGUUAAUGUUAGGUAGGAAGAAUGCCUUGUCUAACAAUAAGAUGUUAAGGAUUCGGCGGAAUUUCGAUAGCGAAGGCAUCUCUCCAAUGUUAUCUGACGCUAAGGUACGAAAGAAUGGGUAGCAAAAGGG
rnacentral:rRNA from 1 species